rnacentral:tRNA from 1 species
CAAGGCGUAGCUAAGAUAGCUAAAGCAUCUCCCUUACACCGAGAAGACACCCGUGCAACUCGGGUCGCCCUGA